rnacentral:rRNA from 1 species
AUUGGACGCUGGCGGCAGGCCUAACACAUGCAAGUCGAGCGGAUGAAGGGAGCUUGCUCCUGGAUUCAGCGGCGGACGGGUGAGUAAUGCCUAGGAAUCUGCCUGGUAGUGGGGGAUAACGUCCGGAAACGGGCGCUAAUACCGCAUACGUCCUGAGGGAGGAAGUGGGGGAUCUUCGGACCUCACGCUAUCAGAUGAGCCUAGGUCGGAUUAGCUAGUUGGUGGGGUAAAGGCCUACCAAGGCGACGAUCCGUAACUGGUCUGAGAGGAUGAUCAGUCACACUGGAACUGAGACACGGUCCAGACUCCUACGGGAGGCAGCAGUGGGGAAUAUUGGACAAUGGGCGAAAGCCUGAUCCAGCCAUGCCGCGUGUGUGAAGAAGGUCUUCGGAUUGUAAAGCACUUUAAGUUGGGAGGAAGGGCAGUAAGUUAAUACCUUGCUGUUUUGACGUUACCAACAGAAUAAGCACCGGCUAACUUCGUG